GAAAGCCUGUCCCAGUUCGGACUGGAGUCUGCAACCCGACUCCACGAAGUUGGAUUCGCUAGUAAUCGCGCAUCAGCCAUGGCGCGGUGAAUACGUUCCCGGGCCUUGUACACACCGCCCGUCAAGCCAUGGGAGCCGGGGGCGCCUGAAGUCCGGGACCGCGAGGACCGGCCUAGGGCGAAACUGGUAACUGGGGCUAAGUCGUAACAAGGUAUC
rnacentral:rRNA from 1 species